GGACGAACGCUGGCGGCGUGCUUAACACAUGCAAGUCGAACGGAAAGGCCCUGCUUUUGUGGGGUGCUCGAGUGGCGAACGGGUGAGUAACACGUGAGUAACCUGCCCUUGACUUUGGGAUAACUUCAGGAAACUGGCGCUAAUACCGGAUAGGAGCUCCUGCUGCAUGGUGGGGGUUGGAAAGUUUCGGCGGUUGGGGAUGGACUCGCGGCUUAUCAGCUUGUUGGUGGGGUAGUGGCUUACCAAGGCUUUGACGGGUAGCCGGCCUGAGAGGGUGACCGGCCACAUUGGGACUGAGAUACGGCCCAGACUCCUACGGGAGGCAGCAGUGGGGAAUAUUGCACAAUGGGCGGAAGCCUGAUGCAGCAACGCCGCGUGCGGGAUGACGGCCUUCGGGUUGUAAACCGCUUUCGCCUGUGACGAAGCGUGAGUGACGGUAAUGGGUAAAGAAGCACCGGCUAACUACGUG
rnacentral:rRNA from 1 species